rnacentral:rRNA from 1 species
AAGUGGAGCAAUCCAUGAGUAAAGUGGCGACCGGGUGAGUAACACGUGACUAACCUACCUUUUAGUGGGGGAUAACCUCGGGAAACCGAGGCUAAUACCGCAUAACAUCGCAAGAUCAAAGCAGCAAUGCGCUGGAAGAGGGGGUCGCGGCUGAUUAGCUAGUUGGCGGGGUAAUGGCCCACCAAGGCGAAGAUCGGUAUCCGGCCUGAGAGGGCGCACGGACACACUGGAACUGAAACACGGUCCAGACUCCUACGGGAGGCAGCAGUGGGGAAUUUUGCGCAAUGGGGGAAACCCUGACGCAGCAACGCCGCGUGGAGGAUGAAGCCCCUUGGG